rnacentral:lncRNA from 1 species
CACCUGCAGCCCAUCACUUGGCCAUGGCUUUGAUGGCGACGGCCGCCUCCUCAGUCAUCGCCGACAGCACCGUGAUCAGGAUCUCCUCCCCGCAGUCGUACUUCUGCUCGAUCUCCCUUCCCAGCUCCCCCUCGGGCAGCCGCAGAUCCUCCCUCACCUCCCCGCUGUCCUGCAGCAGCGACAGGAAGCCGUCCUGGAUCCCGAUCAGCUGGAAGUCGCAGCGCUUGAUGUUGGGGACGU